rnacentral:lncRNA from 1 species
UCGACUCUUUGGAAGCGAAUAUUGAUUUCCUGAACAUUAGUUUCCGCAUGAGAAGCAAUGUUUUCGAAAUAUCAUAUACCUCGAAAACAUAGUAUCUUAUCAGUAUCUUUCCAAUAGCUUAAAUUCUUAGGCUGCGAGUCCAUGAUAAGUGGUAUUAAAGCGAGAUUCUUUCUACCUCUUAUUAGGAGAUAACAAGGUCAAGAAGGAUCCGAUACGAUCGAGUAGAACCGAAGCCAUAGGUGGGCCUCCCUCUCUCAAAGUUCGAGCCAACCAUAAUAAGGGCAUCAGUCCAUGCCACAUAAGAGAAGCCUCGAGACAAACCAGCAAUGUCGUUGGUGAUGGAGGGGGUGGCUGAGGAGGUAGCUGGUGAACAAUAAAUAGUUCUUGUGGUAGAGAUCAGAGGUAGCAUUGGUGGAUAACAUUAACGGGUUAAGUGAAUCGGUCCCCCCAUCGCAUGGGUAGUAGGAUCCGUGUGGCCCUUUACACAUUGUAUUUUGUUUUAUGGGCCUCCUAGCCCUGCAAGUGGCCCACAUUGGACCUGGGAUGUGCGGGUUGUACGUAGGAUUGAUCCUUGGGAACUCUUUGUUUGGGCUGUUGGGCUUUCUUAUUUUUAUUUAUUUUUCUCUUUUAUUUUUUUCACUUUAUUCUCUCUCUAUCAUGUUCUAUUUUCUUCUCCCUCUUGUACCCACUUCAUUCUUAAUUAAACAUAUGGUAGUUUGUCCAUCUUUUUGCUCAAAAAAUUAGAAGUAAUUUAUAAAUAAGUUGAAACAUUAACUUGAGAUACCAAAUUCUCAACAACUUUCUGAUUACUUUAUCAGGCAUUAACCUCAAUUCACACUCUUAAUGAACUUAAUGGGACUUCCCAUUUUCUAUUUAAAAAAUAUAAAAAGAACUUUAAUUCGAUAUAUUGUUGGUAAAAUCCCGUUUAAGUUUCAUUUAGCAUCUCAUGGAUCUGCAUCUUGUUUGUGCAGAGAAAUAACCUUCCAGUAUGCAAAUCAUAUUCAAAAAGUGGGGAUCUUUCUCUUUGAGCUACUUUCCGAGGCACUCGGCCUUAAUCGUGAUCAUCUUAA